GCGGCGGUGGCGGAAUUGGUAGACGCACCAGCUUGAGGGGCUGGCGGGGGCAACCCCGUGGAGGUUCGAAUCCUCUUCGCCGCACCA
rnacentral:tRNA from 2 species